GAGUGUUUUUCUUUGUGUGUUGUUAAGGAAGAAUAAUUUAUAAAUUAACUUUGGAAAAAAAGUUUGGCUCCCUCUUCCUCUGGAUCCCAGGUCCUCUCAGCGGGCGACGUGCGGCCACAAGGAAAACAACAAUGCGUGUUGACGUCACAGAAUUACAGAGUUUAAUCCCAUACAAAGCAACGUAUGAAUUAACAACAAAACCGCAGAGGAA